rnacentral:rRNA from 1 species
CUCUGUGGCCAUACCACACCUGGUCAUGUUUGAUCUCAGAAGAUAAGAAGGGUCAGGUCUGGUUAGAACUUGGAUGGGAGAACUCCUGGCCUCAAUGAUCCUCCCGCCUUGGCCUCGGAAAGUCAUAGGAU